rnacentral:rRNA from 1 species
AGUCGAGCGGGGACACGGGGCUUCGGCCUUGUGUUCUAGCGGCGGACGGGUGAGUAACGCGUGAGCAAUCUGUCCCAGACAGGGGGAUAACAACUGGAAACAGUUGCUAAUACCGCAUAAGACCACGGCCUCGCAUGGGGCUGGGGUAAAAGUGGGAACACAGUUUGGGGUGAGCUCGCGUCCCAUUAGCUAGUUGGUGAGGUAACGGCCCACCAAGGCGACGAUGGGUAGCCGACCUGAGAGGGUGAUCGGCCACACUGGAACUGAGACACGGUCCAGACUCCUACGGGAGGCAGCAGUGGGGAAUAUUGGGCAAUGGGCGAAAGCCUGACCCAGCAACGCCGCGUGAGGGAUGAAUGUUUUCGGAUUGUAAACCUCUGUCCUCAGGGACGAAGGAAGUGACGGUACCUGAGGAGGAAGCCCCGGCUAACUACGUGCCAGCAGCCGCGGUAAUACGUAGGGGGCGAGCGUUGUCCGGAAUGACUGGGCGUAAAGGGCGCGUAGGCGGCUGUGUAAGUCUGGAGUGAAAGUCCUGCUUUUAAGGUGGGAAUUGCUUUGGAGACUGCAUGGCUUGAGUGCGGAAGAGGCAAGUGGAAUUCCCAGUGUAGCGGUGAAAUGCGUAGAGAUUGGGAAGAACACCAGUGGCGAAGG